AUGGGAUGCACAGGACCCUGCUGGAGCUGGAUCCCGAAAUGGGAUGCACAGGACCCUGCUGGAGCUGGAUCCCGAAAUGGGAUGUGCAGGACCCUGCUGGAGCUGUAUCCCAGCAGGAAUGGGAUGCACAGGACCCGGCUGGAGCUGGAUCCCGAAAUGGGAUGCACAGGACCCGGCUGGAGCUGGAUCCCGAAAUGGGAUGCACAGGACCCGGCUGGAGCUGUAUCCCUGCAGGAAUGGGAUGUGCAGGACCCUGCUGGAGCUGUAUCCCUGCAGGAAUGGGAUGUGCAGGACCCGGCUGGAGCUGUAUCCCGGCAGGAAUGGGAUGCACAGGACCUUGAGUGCCAACUCCGGGCAUUCCCUGCCAUUACCUCCUGGCAGGAGCAAUCCCGUUUCUUCUCCACAGCCAAAAAUCACCCCCAGACACCCACCAGGAGCCGCUCCUUCCCAAAUCCAGGGAAAAGCGGCUCCCGCGCUCCGCAGGCUGCGGGCAGGAGAAGCCGCCAGGAGCACCAGGGAACGCUGCAGCAUCCUGAGCAACAUUCCAGUCACAGCCCUGAGCUUUCUCCUCUCCAGAACCUUCCCUGCCAGCAAACGCCACUGCGGGGACACGAGAGGGACGAAGGGAAGGUGAGGACCCAGCCCCGGCCUCACAUCCCUGUGAUCCCCUCGUCCCAAGGAACGGGAUUUGGGAAUUGCGAGCGGGAUGGAGCCGGAGCCCGGAGCUCUGCCCGCCCCAGGCUCGCUCCAGGCACAUCAAAUCCUCCCGUGGAGAGGCCCCGCUGGGGACACUGCAGCCACCGCCGGGGACACUGCAGCCACCGCCGGGGACACUGCAGCCACCGCCCGGGGACACUGCAGCCACCACUGGGGACAUUACAGCCACCGCCGGGGACACUGCAGCCACCACUGGGGACACUGCAGCCACCGCUGGGGACACUGCAGCCACUGCCCGGUGCUGGCUUUGGGACAGAGGGGACAGAGCCCGGAGCAGCCCGGGGAGCAGGGACAGCCUUAGGAGCAGAGCGGAGCAGCUCAGGCUGA
rnacentral:lncRNA from 1 species